UACAGAGGUCCCGAGCGUUGUUCGGAUUCACUGGGCGUAAAGGGUGCGUAGGUGGUGAGGAAAGUCGGAUGUGAAAUCUCCGGGCUCAACCCGGAAAUGGCAUUGGAAACUACCUUGCUGGAGGAUUUGAGGGGGGAUUGGAAUACUUGGUGUAGCAGUGAAAUGCGUAGAUAUCAAGUGGAACACCAGUGGCGAAGGCGAAUCCCUGGAAAAUACCUGACACUGAGGCACGAAAGCUAGGGGAGCAAACAGG
rnacentral:rRNA from 1 species